rnacentral:rRNA from 1 species
UACGUAGGGAGCAAGCGUUGUCCGGAUUUAUUGGGCGUAAAGAGCUCGUAGGCGGCUUAGAAAGUCGGGUGUGAAACCUCCAGGCUCAACCUGGAGACGCCACUCGAUACUUCUAUGGCUUGAGUUCGGUAGGGGACCAUGGAAUUCCUGGUGUAGCGGUGAAAUGACGCAGAUAUCUGGAGGAACACCGGUGGCGAAGGCGGCAUCCUGGACCAAUAUUGACGCUGAGGAGCGAAAGCCAGGGAGCAAAGCGGG